rnacentral:rRNA from 1 species
GACGAACGCUGGCGGCGUGCCUAAUACAUGCAAGUAGAACGCUGAAGGAGGAGCUUGCUUCUCUGGAUGAGUUGCGAACGGGUGAGUAACGCGUAGGUAACCUGCCUGGUAGCGGGGGAUAACUAUUGGAAACGAUAGCUAAUACCGCAUAAGAGUAGAUGUUGCAUGACAUUUGCUUAAAAGGUGCAAUUGCAUCACUACCAGAUGGACCUGCGUUGUAUUAGCUAGUUGGUGGGGUAACGGCUUACCAAGGCGACGAUACAUAGCCGACCUGAGAGGGUGAUCGGCCACACUGGGACUGAGACACGGCCCAGACUCCUACGGGAGGCAGCAGUAGGGAAUCUUCGGCAAUGGACGGAAGUCUGACCGAGCAACGCCGCGUGAGUGAAAAAGGUUUUCGGAUCGUAAAGCUCUGUUGUAAGAGAAGAACGAGUGUGAGAGUGGAAAGUUCACACUGUGACGGUAUCUUACCAGAAAGGGACGGCUAACUACGUG